rnacentral:lncRNA from 1 species
CCAAAAGACCCCUCCCCCCCCAUAUCCCUCCAUAUCCCCCCCAUUGCACCCCCAUUUUUCUCCCCCCCCAGGCCAUGCGCCUCCAGGCUCCUCACAGCCCCUGGGCGCCGCUGCUAGGGGGGGCGGCCUGUUCCCUGUUGGCUGAGGGGGUGGGGGAUGCGGCCACGCGCUGGGUCCUGCCCUUCACCGCGGGGGGCUUCAUCUACGUGGGCACCUGUUCCGUCCUCCCACAACUGCUACAGAGAGGACGACCCCGUCCAGUCCCUGCUGCAGCUCAUGGCGCUGCUGGCCGGGGUGGCCAUGAUGGCCGCCAUCGCUCAGUGGGAGUAAUGGGGGUCUAUGGGGCAGGAUGGGAGGGAUAUGGGGUGAUAUAGGGGGGAUAUGGGGGGUAUAUGGGGGUCUUUUUGUAGGAGAUGAUCAAUAAAAGAGUGAUUGAUGACAUCUAUGGGGACCCAAUGGGGAUUCUAUGGGACUUGGAGGACCCCAAUAGGACAUGGAGACCCUAAUAGGACAUGGAGACCCUAAUAUGACAUGGGGACACUAUGGGGACCCAAUGGGACCCAAUGGGACAUGGAAGACCCCAAUGGGACAUAGAAGGCCCCAAUGGGACAUGGGGACCCUAAUAGGACAUGGGGGACCCCAAUGGGACACGGAGACACCAUGGGGACCCAAUGGGACAUGGAAGACCCCAAUGGGACAUGGGGACCCCAAUGGGACAUGGGGACCCUAUGGGAACCCAAUGGGACAUAGAAGACCCCAAUGGGACAUGGGGACCCUAAUAGGACAUGGGGGACCCCAAUGGGACACAGAGACACUAUGGGACCCCAAUGGGACAUGGAAGACCCCAAUAGGACAUGGGGGACCCCAAUGGGACAUGGGGACACUAUGGGGACCCAAUGGGACAUGGGGACCCUAAUAGGAUAUGGGGGACCCCAAUGGGACAUGGGGACACUAUGGGNCCCAAUGGGACAUGGGGACACUAUGGGGACCCAAUGGGACAUGGGGACCCUAAUAGGAUAUGGGGGACCCCAAUGGGACAUGGGGACACUAUGGGACCCCAAUGGAACCCAAUGGGACAUAGAAGACCCCAAUGGGAACCCAAUGGGACAUAGAAGACCCCAAUGGGAACCCAAUGGGACAUGGAAGACCCCAAUGGGGACCCAAUGUGACAUGAGGAUCCUAAUAGGACAUGGGGGGUAUUUUAUGGGGUAUUUUAUGGGGUAUAUGGGGUAUGUUAUGGGGUAUAUGGGGUAUUUAUGGGGUAUAUGGGGUAUGUUAUGGGGUAUUUAUGGGGUAUAUGGGGUAUUUAUGGGGUAUAUGGGGUAUUUAUGGGGUAUAUGGGGUAUGUUAUGGGGUAUAUGGGGUAUUUAUGGGGUAUAUGGGGUAUGUUAUGGGGUAUAUGGGGUAUGUUAUGGGGUUGAGGGUAUAUUAUGGGGUCAGAAGAAUAUUAUAGGGUCGGAGACUCAGUCCAUAUACACAACAUCCAUUUUAUUGUGGGUCCCAAUGUGGGGGUCCAUCCAUUGGGAUGUUAUGGGGUAUAUGGGGUAUAUGGGGUAUUUAUGGGGUAUCUAUGGGGUCUCUAUGGGGUCUCUAUGGGGCGGCCUUGCCCUGCGCCCUGUGCUGUAG